rnacentral:rRNA from 1 species
AUGGUCGGGGAGUGGCCGCAAUACAACAGUGUUGUGCACAAUGAUCUUGACCCCUUCAUGACAAGUGAACACAACCACCAAUUGCAGGACGACCAUGGUGAUGAGACAUAUGGUCUACUUGGAGCCACUGCCAACGUGGGAAUGAUUGAUAAUACCAACGUUGUUGCUGGAAACCAAGGAAACAACAAUGGAGAAACCUACAGUGAGAAGAGGAUGGAGACAAGGCGUACCACCUAUCACCGUCUCCGCAGAGAACAGAUCCAACAACUUGAAGCUGUGUUCCGGGAAAUCCCUUAUCCAGAUGAGAAACUCCGGAAGACCCUUAGUGAGAGGCUUGGCAUGAGUGCCCAACAGGUCAAGUUCUGGUUCCAAAACCAUCGCAGCAACAGUAAGGGCAAGACGCAAAGGCGGGAGACCAACACUCUUCAGUUAGAGAACCAGAUGCUAAAAUCUGACAGGCAAGCCAUCAUGUUGGCUAUGGAAAAUAGCACUUGCCUCAAAUGCAGAGGGGCGGUGGUUCAAACUCAGGACACCUCAGAGCGCCAACGCUUGUUCAAGGAGAAUAUGAAGCACAAGGAGGAACUUAGGCUUGCCGCGACCCAUCUUAAAGAGGGUCUCCAACAAAAUGGAAUGAUGUCAGGGUUGCUUCGUGGGAUUUCACGAGAUCUAGCAAUCAUGGCAACAAUGUAUGGGUUGUGGAGAAAAGAAGAGGGGGUGGGAGAGCCCUGGCCUCCCCUUGGGCCUCGGCGACCCACAGCCCCCUGCCCCCCCUUGGCCCCCAACCAGCCCAGCCGGCCCAACCUCCCCGGUCGCUCUCCCCUCCCUCCUGUUCCCCCGAUGCGCGCCGCUACAGGGGCUCGUCGCCGCCUGACCACCUCGCCGGCAACACCGCGGCCGCGCCCCAUACCCUCCCCCUUAUCCACCCCACUGGGGGAAAACCCUAACCACCCACCCCACUUUCCCCACUCCUCCCUCUGCUUCCCCCGAUCCAGAUCGGAUCGGGCGUCGACGCCCCUUGCUGCUCGCCCGACGCCACGCCUCGGCGGACCGCCUUCGCCGGAGCCGCCCACCGGGCCGCCCCGUCCUCAUCCCCCUCCCCGAUCCAGAAAUGGUUCGGGGCACGACCUCGACGCCGCACCGAACCGCGAUGCCCGCCGCUCGACCCCGGACCGCUCCCUCGCCGGACCUCCUCCUCUACGUCGCCGUCGUCCCCGUCCUCCUCCCCAAAGGCUCCACCGAGCCUCGCCGACCCUCUUCUCUUCAACGCCGGUGAGGGCCUUGCCCUCCCCUUCCCUUCCUCUGCUCCGUGCCGGCUGCGCCGCUUUCUGCACCGUCCUGCGCCCACCACGGCCAUCGCAACCAUUCGCCACCGCCCGUGCUGCUCCUGCUCCCCGCCUCGCCGCACUGACCGCGCCCCAGGCGCGCCCCCGACCCCCGGCCUCCUGCAGCUCUCACCAACACAGACCCUCCCGCUCGCGCGACCGCGGCUCGCGCCGUCCAGCCGUCGCCCUGGCUCCCCGUGCCAAACCCUGUCGCCACAACCCCUGCUGCAUCUGCUGCGCCCGCGGCCUGCUAUGCGCGCCCGCGCGCAAUCCCCCCUGCGCUGUAGUUGGUAGGCGCCCCCUCACCUCGCUGACCUGCUCCGGUCGGUUGCGGCUACCCUGCCGUGGCCGCCGGCCAGCCCGCACUUGCCCGAGUCCAGUUGCCCGCGCCCCGCCGCCGGCGCCGGCGUGCGUCGUGCGCGCCCUCUCGGGCACGCGCUUGUUCGGAUUACACCCGCACCCAGCGCCCGUUAGGCCCGUGUGA